rnacentral:rRNA from 5 species
AAAUUGAAGAGUUUGAUCAUGGCUCAGAUUGAACGCUGGCGGCAGGCCUAACACAUGCAAGUCGAACGGUAACAGGAAGCAGCUUGCUGCUUCGCUGACGAGUGGCGGACGGGUGAGUAAUGUCUGGGAAGCUGCCUGAUGGAGGGGGAUAACUACUGGAAACGGUGGCUAAUACCGCAUAACGUCGCAAGACCAAAGAGGGGGACCUUCGGGCCUCUUGCCAUCAGAUGUGCCCAGAUGGGAUUAGCUAGUUGGUGAGGUAACGGCUCACCAAGGCGACGAUCCCUAGCUGGUCUGAGAGGAUGACCAGCCACACUGGAACUGAGACACGGUCCAGACUCCUACGGGAGGCAGCAGUGGGGAAUAUUGCACAAUGGGCGCAAGCCUGAUGCAGCCAUGCCGCGUGUAUGAAG